rnacentral:rRNA from 1 species
CCAGGAAAAGCCUCUAAGCAUCAGGUAACAUGAAAUCGUACCCCAAACCGACACAGGUGGUCAGGUAGAGAAUACUCAGGCGCUUGAGAGAACUCGGGUGAAGGAACUAGGCAAAAUGGUGCCGUAACUUCGGGAGAAGGCACGCUGGCAUUAGGUAAAGGGACUUGCUCCCGGCGCCGAAGCCAGUCGCAGAUACCAGCUGGCUGCAACUGUUUAAUAAAAACACAGCACUGUGCAAACACGAAAGUGGACGUAUACGGUGUGACGCCUGCCCGGUGCUGGAAGGUUAAUUGAUGGGGUCAGCCGCAAGGCGAAGCUCUUGAUCGAAGCCCCAGUAAACGGCGGCCGUAACUAUAACGGUCCUAAGGUAGCGAAAUUCCUUGUCGGGUAAGUUCCGACCUGCACGAAUGGCGUAAUGAUGGCCAGGCUGUCUCCACCCGAGACUCAGUGAAAUUGAACUCGCUGUGAAGAUGCAGUGUACCCGCGGCAAGACGGAAAGACCCCGUGAACCUUUACUAUAGCUUGACACUGAACAUUGAGCCUUGAUGUGUAGGAUAGGUGGGAG